rnacentral:tRNA from 1 species
GCGGGUGUAGCUCAAUUGGCAGAGCUCCAGCCUUCCAAGCUGGUUGUUGUGGGUUCGAAUCCCAUCGCCCGCU